AAAUACCAAGGCGCUUGAGAGAACUCGGGUGAAGGAACUAGGCAAAAUGGUGCCGUAACUUCGGGAGAAGGCACGCUGAUAUGUAGGUGAAGCGACUUGCUCGUGGAGCUGAAAUCAGUCGAAGAUACCAGCUGGCUGCAACUGUUUAUUGAAAACACAGCACUGUGCAAACACGAAAGUGGACGUAUACGGUGUGACGCCUCCCGGUGCCGGAAGGUUAAUUGAUGGGGUUAGCGCAAGCGAAGCUCUUGAUCGAAGCCCCGGUAAACGGCGGCCGUAACUAUAACGGUCCUAAGGUAGCGAAAUUCCUUGUCGGGUAAGUUCCGACCUGCACGAAUGGCGUAAUGAUGGCCAGGCUGUCUCCACCCGAGACUCAGUGAAAUUGAACUCGCUGUGAAGAUGCAGUGUACCCGCGGCAAGACGGAAAGACCCCGUGAACCUUUACUAUAGCUUGACACUGAACAUUGAGCCUUGAUGUGUAGGAUAGGUGGGAGGCUUUGAAGUGUGGACGCCAGUCUGCAUGGAGCCGACCUUGAAAUACCACCCUUUAAUGUUUGAUGUUCUAACGUUGACCCGUAAUCCGGGUUGCGGACAGUGUCUGGUGGGUAGUUUGACUGGGGCGGUCUCCUCCUAAAGAGUAACGGAGGAGCACGAAGGUUGGCUAAUCCUGGUCGGACAUCAGGAGGUUAGUGCAAUGGCAUAAGCCAGCUUGACUGCGAGCGUGACGGCGCGAGCAGGUGCGAAAGCAGGUCAUAGUGAUCCGGUGGUUCUGAAUGGAAGGGCCAUCGCUCAACGGAUAAAAGGUACUCCGGGGAUAACAGGCUGAUACCGCCCAAGAGUUCAUAUCGACGGCGGUGUUUGGCACCUCGAUGUCGGCUCAUCACAUCCUGGGGCUGAAGUAGGUCCCAAGGGUAUGGCUGUUCGCCAUUUAAAGUGGUACGCGAGCUGGGUUUAGAACGUCGUGAGACAGUUCGGUCCCUAUCUGCCGUGGGCGCUGGAGAACUGAGGGGGGCUGCUCCUAGUACGAGAGGACCGGAGUGGACGCAUCACUGGUGUUCGGGUUGUCAUGCCAAUGGCACUGCCCGGUAGCUAAAUGCGGAAGAGAUAAGUGCUGAAAGCAUCUAAGCACGAAACUUGCCCCGAGAUGAGUUCUCCCUGACUCCUUGAGAGUCCUGAAGGAACGUUGAAGACGACGACGUUGAUAGGCCGGGUGUGUAAGCGCAGCGAUGCGUUGAGCUAACCGGUACUAAUGAACCGUGAGGCUUAACC
rnacentral:rRNA from 1 species